CCUGGCUCACGAUGAACGCUAGCUACAGGCUUAACACAUGCAAGUCGAGGGGCAGCAUGGUCUUAGCUUGCUAAGGCCGAUGGCGACCGGCGCACGGGUGAGUAACGCGUAUCCAACCUGCCUUACACUCUUGGACAGCCUUCUGAAAGGGAGAUUAAUACAAGAUGUUAUCAUGAGUAAGCAUUUUCGCAUGAUUAAAGGUUUACCGGUGUAAGAUGGGGAUGCGUUCCAUUAGAUAGUAGGCGGGGUAACGGCCCACCUAGUCUUCGAUGGAUAGGGGUUCUGAGAGGAAGGUCCCCCACAUUGGAACUGAGACACGGUCCAAACUCCUACGGGAGGCAGCAGUGAGGAAUAUUGGUCAAUGGACGAGAGUCUGAACCAGCCAAGUAGCGUGAAGGAUGAAGGUUCUAUGGAUUGUAAACUUCUUUUAUACGGGAAUAAACGAAUCCACGUGUGGAUUUUUGCAUGUACCGUAUGAAUAAGGAUCGGCUAACUCCGUGCCAGCAGCCGCGGUAAUACGGAGGAUCCGAGCGUUAUCCGGAUUUAUUGGGUUUAAAGGGAGCGUAGAUGGGUUGUUAAGUCAGUUGUGAAAGUUUGCGGCUCAACCGUAAAAUUGCAAUUGAUACUGGCAGUCUUGAGUACAGUUGAGGUAGGCGGAAUUCGUGGUGUAGCGGUGAAAUGCUUAGAUAUCACGAAGAACUCCGAUUGCGAAGGCAGCUUACUAACCUGUAACUGACAUUGAUGCUCGAAAGUGUGGGUAUCAAACAGGAUUAGAUACCCUGGUAGUCCACACGGUAAACGAUGAAUACUCGCUGUAGGCGAUAUACAGUCUGCGGCCAAGCGAAAGCAUUAAGUAUUCCACCUGGGGAGUACGCCGGCAACGGUGAAACUCAAAGGAAUUGACGGGGGCCCGCACAAGCGGAGGAACAUGUGGUUUAAUUCGAUGAUACGCGAGGAACCUUACCCGGGCUUAAAUUGCAACCGAAUAUGGCGGAAACGCUAUAGCUAGCAAUAGCGGUUGUGAAGGUGCUGCAUGGUUGUCGUCAGCUCGUGCCGUGAGGUGUCGGCUUAAGUGCCAUAACGAGCGCAACCCUUGCCGAUAGUUACUAACAGGUUAUGCUGAGGACUCUGUCGGGACUGCCAUCGUAAGAUGUGAGGAAGGUGGGGAUGACGUCAAAUCAGCACGGCCCUUACGUCCGGGGCUACACACGUGUUACAAUGGGGGGUACAGAGGGCUGCUACCACGCAAGUGGAUGCCAAUCCCAAAAACCUCUCUCAGUUCGGAUUGAAGUCUGCAACCCGACUUCAUGAAGCUGGAUUCGCUAGUAAUCGCGCAUCAGCCACGGCGCGGUGAAUACGUUCCCGGGCCUUGUACACACCGCC
rnacentral:rRNA from 1 species